GUGCAGUCACGACAACUACUUCGGCCCCAUCUACAACCAGGUCAACUGUACGCAGUACUGCACGUCCUGUUCCUGUACCUGUGAUAUCCACGUUAAGGAGUAGUCUUUCAACAACUACAAGAAGGUCAACACUAGCCAGUAAGAUCAUGCUUAAGCAUUUGAUAUUGACUCUCUAAUGUCUAUACAA